rnacentral:rRNA from 1 species
CCUACGGGCGGCAGCAGUGGGGAAUAUUGCACCAUGGGCGCAAGCCUGAUGCAGCCAUGCCGCGUGUGUGAAGAAGGCCUUCGGGUUGUAAAGCACUUUCAGCGGGGAGGAAGGCGGUGAGGUUAAUAACCUCAUCGAUUGACGUUACCCGCAGAAGAAGCACCGGCUAACUCCGUGCCAGCAGCCGCGGUAAUACGGAGGGUGCAAGCGUUAAUCGGAAUUACUGGGCGUAAAGCGCACGCAGGCGGUCUGUCAAGUCGGAUGUGAAAUCCCGGGCUCAACCUGGGAACUGCAUUCGAAACUGGCAGGCUAGAGUCUUGUAGAGGGGGGUAGAAUUCCAGGUGUAGCGGUGAAAUGCGUAGAGAUCUGGAGGAAUACCGGUGGCGAAGGCGGCCCCCUGGACAAAGACUGACGCUCAGGUGCGAAAGCGUGGGGAGCAAACAGGAUUAGAUACCCUAGUAGUC